rnacentral:lncRNA from 1 species
GGCAGUCUGGAUCCUGGGGACCUCCUCCGUUAACUGGACGAUUCUGCAUGCCCUACCCUGGAGACACCCCGCCCCCAUGGACUAUUAGGCACGUCCACCUCCUGAACCUUAGUGGCCCUGAGGCCACCCGGAACCCCUCCACCUGCAACACUUGGCUAUUUUGUAUGCAAGAGUCCUGGUCCUUUCCCAGGAUUGCCUUGCAGGCUGUACCCCAUGGACCACCCUUCACCACCAGUCAUGGGCUAUAGGCCACAUCCCCCUCCUCCACCUACUCUAUUUGUUAAGAUGACCUGAACUGGACGAGUGGCUGGUAAAGUAUAUUCAUCUUCUUCAUGAUUGACUUUGUGGCAAUGAUGUAGAGACAGUUGUGAGUCUUGGCAAUCCAACUACAAACUGCCUGAGGACACUGUAGCAUGUCUCAAGUUUCUCAGGACAUACAUACAAUGGGCAGUGUCAUGUCCCUGUAAUACAGUGAGCUAUACGUUUCUCUUGUCAAAUGAAAGAGGAUUUUUUACACAAAAGCAGAUG